CAGUGGGAGGCACACCGAGGGGGAGGUAAAUACGGUUAAUUGCCGAGUUUUGUUGGAGGAAGAAAGCUUCAGUAGAGGGAGCUCAAGACAAUUCUCAUUUUCUUCUUUCUUGAAACUUUCCCUGGAAAGUCUGUCCAGGAGUCUGAUGAUCACAAAUGGUGUAAGGAUGUGAAUAAUUGCUGGAGAGCCGAAAAGGAUGGAUGUCGCUACUGAGUUAUCCCUUUCACCCCUGCAAGAAGCAGAAAUUUCCUGGCAGGUGGUUUCAAUAGCCAGUAGAACCCUGACAGAGAUGACAGAGUGCUUGGAUGGGGAGAGCCAGUGCUAUUUUGCAGAAGCCAAAGAAAGGGAGAACAAAGGGAGACCUACACCUUCUGGAUUACAGGAUCCUGAUUCUGAGUCAAGUCUCAGGAAAAGCUGACCGUUUAAGGAAAUAAAGGCACUUUUAAAAGAAGGCUGUUACACGCUCCUGAAUGACACAAAAGUAGACUGGGGCAGAUGGACAGACGUCUCUUCUUGGUUUGCAUGACUUGGCAUCAUCAAAAUGUCAUUUCUUUCUAGAUUUCACCUUGGAAGAACUUGGAGAGUAGGGAAAUGCAAGCCUGAACGGGUUCACUCAUCUGCCUUUGAAAAACGGCCCUUUCUGCUCAGAACCAGCCAUCAUAGAAGGCUCAUCUUAUCCUGAACAUGUAUCUCUGGACUGGUUAAAAUUGUGUGCCUGCCAUUAACUGACCAGAGACUCAUUUCUGUCAUUUAUAAAAUAGGAGGAAUAAUAACUUGCUAGUCGCUGUAAAUUAAAUAAGUAAAUCUAUUAUA